UGUGGGACUUCUGAUGUUAUAGUUGUAUAAUGGAAUGUAUUGUGUGACUUGGUAUUGUGGGACUUACUGAUGUAUUGUGAGACUGCUGAUCAUAUGGUUGUGUGAUGGAAUGUAUUGUGGGACUUACUGAUGUUUAAUUUGUAUAAUGGAAUGUAUUGUGUGACUUGGUAUUGUGGGACUGCUAAUGUAUUGUGGAACUUCUGAUGUUUUAGUUGUAUAAUGGAAUGUAUUGUGUGACUUUUUUGUUUGAAUUGUUUUACAUUUGUCAUCUUGGGGCCUGCUAACUAUGCUGUAUGGAUUGAAUGAGGUUAAAUUAUUAACUUCCAAGUCAAUUAUACAUCAUCAAUGUUUUUGAGCUUAUU
rnacentral:lncRNA from 1 species